UGCGUAGGCGGAUUUUUAAGUCAGUGGUGAAAGCCCGGAGCUCAACUCCGGAACUGCCAUUGAUACUAUUAAUCUUGAAUACAGUUGAGGUGGGCGGAAUGUGUAGUGUAGCGGUGAAAUGCUUAGAUAUUACACAGAACACCGAUUGCGAAGGCAGCUCGCUAAACUGUUAUUGACGCUGAGGCACGAAAGCGUGGGGAGCGAACAGGAUUAAUACCCUGGUAGUC
rnacentral:rRNA from 1 species